GGGUUGUGAGGUUAAGCGACUAAGCGUACACGGUGGAUGCCCUGGCAGUCAGAGGCGAUGAAGGACGUGCUAAUCUGCGAAAAGCGUCGGUAAGGUGAUAUGAACCGUUAUAGCCGGCGAUGUCCGAAUGGGGAAACCCAGUGCAAUUCGUUGCACUAUCGUUUGAUGAAUACAUAGUCAAACGAGGCGAACCGGGGGAACUGAAACAUCUAAGUACCCCGAGGAAAAGAAAUCAACCGAGAUUCCCCCAGUAGCGGCGAGCGAACGGGGAGCAGCCCGGAGUCUGAAUCAGCUUGUGUGUUAGUGGAAGCGUCUGGAAAGUCGCAGGGUACAGGGUGAUACUCCCGUACACUAAAACACACAGGCUGUGAACUCGAAGAGUAGGGCGGGACACGUGGUAUCCUGUCUGAAUAUGGGGGGACCAUCCUCCAAGGCUAAAUACUCCUGACUGACCGAUAGUGAACCAGUACCGUGAGGGAAAGGCGAAAAGAACCCCGGCGAGGGGAGUGAAAAAGAACCUGAAACCGUGUACGUACAAGCAGUAGGAGCCUCUUUAUGGGGUGACUGCGUACCUUUUGUAUAAUGGGUCAGCGACUUAUAUUCUGUAGCAAGGUUAACCGUAUAGGGGAGCCGCAGGGAAACCGAGUCUUAACUGGGCGUUAAGUUGCAGGGUAUAGACCCGAAACCCGGUGAUCUAGCCAUGGGCAGGUUGAAGGUUGGGUAACACUAACUGGAGGACCGAACCGACUAAUGUUGAAAAAUUAGCGGAUGACUUGUGGCUGGGGGUGAAAGGCCAAUCAAACCGGGAGAUAGCUGGUUCUCCCCGAAAGCUAUUUAGGUAGCGCCUCGUGAACUCAUCUUCGGGGGUAGAGCACUGUUUCGGCUAGGGGGUCAUCCCGACUUACCAACCCGAUGCAAACUACGAAUACCGAAGAAUGUUAUCACGGGAGACACACGGCGGGUGCUAACGUCCGUCGUGAAGAGGGAAACAACCCAGACCGCCAGCUAAGGUCCCAAAGUCAUGGUUAAGUGGGAAACGAUGUGGGAAGGCCCAGACAGCCAGGAUGUUGGCUUAGAAGCAGCCAUCAUUUAAAGAAAGCGUAAUAGCUCACUGGUCGAGUCGGCCUGCGCGGAAGAUGUAACGGGGCUAAACCAUGCACCGAAGCUGCGGCAGCGACACUAUGUGUUGUUGGGUAGGGGAGCGUUCUGUAAGCCGUUGAAGGUGGCCUGUGAGGGUUGCUGGAGGUAUCAGAAGUGCGAAUGCUGACAUAAGUAACGAUAAUGCGGGUGAAAAACCCGCACGCCGGAAGACCAAGGGUUCCUGUCCAACGUUAAUCGGGGCAGGGUGAGUCGACCCCUAAGGCGAGGCCGAAAGGCGUAGUCGAUGGGAAACAGGUUAAUAUUCCUGUACUCGGUGUUACUGCGAAGGGGGGACGGAGAAGGCUAUGUUGGCCGGGCGACGGUUGUCCCGGUUUAAGCAUGUAGGCGGAUGUUCCAGGUAAAUCCGGAACGUUAUUAACGCUGAGGUGUGAUGACGAGGCACUACGGUGCUGAAGUGACAAAUGCCCUGCUUCCAGGAAAAGCCUCUAAGCAUCAGGUAACAUCAAAUCGUACCCCAAACCGACACAGGUGGUCAGGUAGAGAAUACCAAGGCGCUUGAGAGAACUCGGGUGAAGGAACUAGGCAAAAUGGUGCCGUAACUUCGGGAGAAGGCACGCUGAUAGGUAGGUGAAGUGGUUUACCCAUGGAGCUGAAAUCAGUCGAAGAUACCAGCUGGCUGCAACUGUUUAUUAAAAACACAGCACUGUGCAAACACGAAAGUGGACGUAUACGGUGUGACGCCUGCCCGGUGCCGGAAGGUUAAUUGAUGGGGUUAUCCGUAAGGAGAAGCUCUUGAUCGAAGCCCCGGUAAACGGCGGCCGUAACUAUAACGGUCCUAAGGUAGCGAAAUUCCUUGUCGGGUAAGUUCCGACCUGCACGAAUGGCGUAAUGAUGGCCAGGCUGUCUCCACCCGAGACUCAGUGAAAUUGAACUCGCUGUGAAGAUGCAGUGUACCCGCGGCAAGACGGAAAGACCCCGUGAACCUUUACUAUAGCUUGACACUGAACACUGGUCCUUGAUGUGUAGGAUAGGUGGGAGGCUUUGAAGUGUGGACGCCAGUCUGCAUGGAGCCAUCCUUGAAAUACCACCCUUUAAUGGCUGGUGUUCUAACGUGGGCCCGUUAUCCGGGUUGCGGACAGUGUCUGGUGGGUAGUUUGACUGGGGCGGUCUCCUCCUAAAGAGUAACGGAGGAGCACGAAGGUCAGCUAAUCCUGGUCGGACAUCAGGAGGUUAGUGCAAUGGCAUAAGCUGGCUUGACUGCGAGCGUGACGGCGCGAGCAGGUGCGAAAGCAGGUCAUAGUGAUCCGGUGGUUCUGAAUGGAAGGGCCAUCGCUCAACGGAUAAAAGGUACUCCGGGGAUAACAGGCUGAUACCGCCCAAGAGUUCAUAUCGACGGCGGUGUUUGGCACCUCGAUGUCGGCUCAUCACAUCCUGGGGCUGAAGUAGGUCCCAAGGGUAUGGCUGUUCGCCAUUUAAAGUGGUACGCGAGCUGGGUUUAGAACGUCGUGAGACAGUUCGGUCCCUAUCUGCCGUGGGCGCUGGAGAAUUGAGGGGGGCUGCUCCUAGUACGAGAGGACCGGAGUGGACGCAUCACUGGUGUUCGGGUUGUCAUGCCAAUGGCAUUGCCCGGUAGCUAAAUGCGGAAGAGAUAAGUGCUGAAAGCAUCUAAGCACGAAACUUGCCCCGAGAUGAGUUCUCCCUGACUCCUUGAGAGUCCUGAAGGAACGUUGAAGACGACGACGUUGAUAGGCCGGGUGUGUAAGCGCAGCGAUGCGUUGAGCUAACCGGUACUAAUGAACCGUGAGGCUUAACCUUACAACGCCGAAG
rnacentral:rRNA from 1 species